AGCAACUCAGUGGACAUCACGUGAGGUGCAGCACAUGCUUGUUUGGGGCUAACUCAGAACUGUGAAUUUCUGCUGCCAGAGGACACACUUUGGAAGUUGGAGUUAACUGGUGACUCUUUCAAGGACUGCUGGCUACAAGGAAAACAAAGGAGUGGUUGGAAGUUUACAAGAAAAGUGAAGAAGAUGGAAGAAAAAUUUUGGGUGCUGAUAAAAAAGAUCCAGUAGAGAGGAAAAUUAAUGGCACAGAAGAGAGUUGGGGGUGAUAUUCUGAACAAGUAGGCAGGGCUAAGAGCUAGGGAACAAAUAGAAAGAUGGAUUUAGAUAGGAUCACAGGUAAUCCAUGUGUAUUGUCAGGCGGUAGAAAAAGAUUUGUGGGUCUGGAUGGAGGUAGGUGAGAACAUAUAGUGAUGGGAAUCUUGAAAGCUUUCUUCUAAUUGUUUCAAUUUCUGAAGUAUAUUCGUAUAUUUUCAUAAUUUGUUCAAAAUCACAUCACUAACAAAGAGAGGAAACAUUCAAACUCAGGAAUUUAUUCAUACGUUUUUAUUAUAAAUAUCAUAGAGUCUGAGAGUAGGCAGAUGUUACAGACCAUGUUGCUAUGGCAAGAUCCAAGAAUACCUCCUUUUAACAGAACCUCCAUUAUUUUGUGGUGCAAAUAUGAACGAAUCUAGGCAUUUGAUCAUAAUUGAUCUAAAACAAUUAUAACAAUUCUCUUCCUCCCUUUCCCAGCAUUUCUUGUAGAUAUGGGUGGUCCAGUUCUGAACAAUGGAGUACAAGUUUGUUACAGAUGUCUCUGGAAAAAUGUUUCCUUCCCCAUUAAAAGAGACCAAUGUGAUCAGCAGUAUCCCUGUCUUACAUUCUCC
rnacentral:lncRNA from 1 species